GUGAAAUUCAGAUUUUAUUGUCCAAAAAGUUUGACUGGAACAUAGCCACAUGUACUGGUGCGUGGCGUGGCUGCUUCAUGCCGCUACCGCAAAGUGGCAAGAGAGCCACAUGGCUAGAAAAGCCAACAAUAUUUACCAUCUGCUCCGUUACCGAAAAAGUGUUGAGCCCUGCUUUACACCCCAAUGUGUACCUAUCCUUGCAGCCUCAAAUUACUGGCCAGCCUUGUUUCAUCUAUAGUUACUCCCAGUCCCACGGAUUCAAAGGAAAUCCCAGACAUCCUAUAAUUUCAUGUUCAUGUUGUUGAAAUUUAAAAAGUCUGAAAAUUCACCAAGAAGAUGUAAUAUAUAUGCACCAAACAUCAGAGCCCCAAAGUAUAUGAAACAAACAUUGACAGAAUCAAAGGAAGAAAUGGGUAGUUCCAUGGUAAGAGUAGGAGACUUCUUUCAGUAACAGCCCACGUUCAGUAAUGGAUAGGACAACCAGACAGACGAUCAGUCGCAAGACAGAACUUGAACAGCAUCAUAGCAACUGGACCUAACAGACACAACAGCAGUACACACAUUUUUCUCAAGUGCAAAUGGACCUUUCUCUAGGAUAGACAGUAUGUUAGACCACAAAACAAGUCAAGAAAUUUCAAAAGACUGAAGAAAUAAAAUACCUUUUCUGGCCACAGUGGGAUGAAACUAGAAAUCAGUAACUAGAUGAAAAACUGUAAAGUACACAAUUUUGUGAAAAUUAAACAACACUCUCAACCAGCGGAUUAAUGGGGGAAAUCACAAGGGAAAUUAGAAAAUAUCUUGAGAUAAAUGAAAAUUUAAACAUAACAUACAAAAAACAGGCACAGUGAAAGUGGUAGAAAGGAAAUUUAUAACUGUAAAUACAAAUAUUAAAAAAAUUAAGAUCUCAAGUCAACACUAAAUUUACAUCUGAAAGAACUAGAAAAAGAAGAGCAAUCAACCCAAAGCCAGCAGGAUGGAGGAAAUAAUAAAGAUUAGAGCAGAGACAAAAAUAGAGAACAGAAAAGUAAUAGAGGAAAAUAAAUGAAACCAAGAGUUUGCUGAUAACCAAAACUGACUUUUGGCUAAGAGUGACUAAGAAAAACAACUAAAAACCAGAAGGAGGGGACAUUACAACUGAGUACUAUGAGCAAUUAUAUAUCAAUGAAUUGGAUAACUUAGAUGAACUGGACAAAUUCUUGGAAACACACAGCAGUGUAUCAAGACUGAAUCAUGAAGAAAUGGAAAAUCUAAACAGACCUAUGCUAGUCAAGAGAAUGAAUUAGUAAUGAAAAGCCUCCCAACAAAGAAAAGCGCAGGGCCAUAUGGAAAUUCUACCAAACAUCUGAAGAAUUAAAUCAAUUCUCAGACUCUUCCAAAAAACUGAAGAGGAAAGGACACUUCCAAAUGUAUCCUAUGAGGGCAGCAUUAUUCUGAUACCAAAACCAAACAAAGACAAAGACACUACAAGAAAAGAACACCACACAUCAGUAUUCCUGACCAAGAUUUUUUUUUUUUUUAAUCAGUAUUCAACAAAAUACGGCCAACACAAUUCAGGGGAACAUUGAAAGGAUUACACAUCAUGGCCAAGUGAGAUUUAUAGCUGGUAUGCAAAGAUGUUUCAACAUGCUCAAGUCAAUAAAUGUAAUACAUACUACAUUAACAGAAUGAAAGAAAAAAAAUGUGAUAUCAACUGAUGCAGAAAAAGCAUUUGAGACAAUGUCAUGCCCUUUCAUGAUAAAAACUCUCAAUAACUGGGAAUAGAAGGAAACAACCUCAAAUAGAGGCCAUAUGAAAAUCCCACUGUAAACAUCAUAUUCAAUAAGACUGAAAGCAUUUACUUGAAGAUCAAGAACAAGACAGAAAUACCCUGUCUCACCACUUUUAUUUAACACAGUACUGGAGUCUUAGAGCAAUUAGGCAAGAAAAAGAAAUAAAAGGCAUCCAGACUGGAAAAGAAGCAGCAAAAUUAUCUCUGUUUGCAGAUGACAUGAUCUUAUAUGUAGAAAAUCCUAGUGUCUUUGUAUAGACAAUUUCAGUAACAUUGCAGUUUACAAAAUCAACACAACAAAUCUAUGAUAUUUCUAUACAAUAACAAGCAACCUCAAAAGGAAAUUUAAGAAAAUUCCAUUUAUAAUUGUAACAAAAAACUGAAAUAUUUAGGAAUAAACUUGAGGUAAAAGACUUGUACACUGAAAACCAUAAAACAUUGCUGAAAGGAAGGUCAACACAAAUAAAUAGAAAGCAAUUCCGUGUUU
ensembl:lncRNA